rnacentral:tRNA from 1 species
UGCGGCGUAGUGUAAUGGCUAACACAUCAGUCCGGUCUACUGAAGAUGCUGGUUCGCUCCCAGCCGCCAA